CCCCUAUCCAGCAUGUGAGCUGUGUCCAUUACUCUGCUAACAUUUACAGGACUUUGCACAACAUUAGAAUCGCUUACUUUGGAUAUUCACUGUCAGAACCUUAUUAAAGUGCUUGUGCCAAGAUAUAGACCAGCAGCUGCAUACAGUGAUGUUUUCUGUUGAUCCGCAGUGGCAGCUGGUGCAAGGUCAGCACACCUGAACCCCACCCUACAGAGCUACCCGUUGAGAGAAGGAAAGUUCUGAUAUCUAUGCCUGCAGCAUCAUUGGGAUGAAAGAUGAAAGAAAAUUGUGUGGGCAGGCUGUAUUUGUGUUGCUGAGGGGAGGAGAGAACACAGGGACAACUCAGGACAAAAGAGUCAAAGAGAGAGCCACUUUGCAGAGUGAAUGGAGCUGGGUGAAUCACAUGGUCUAUGGCAAGCUCUGGAGUGCUUAGCAAAUGAAGUCAUCCAGACAGGAUUAAACAGAAUUAUGUCUCUGUAGCAGAGCCUUGUUUAUGGAAAAUGAGUUUGGGCGAUUGGCUUAGCUUAAGCACAUACUGUUCUUUUUUACCUAGUCACAUAAGGCUUUCUUCAAUAAAGUAGUCCUGUCCC
rnacentral:lncRNA from 1 species